rnacentral:rRNA from 1 species
AGAAACGGCUACCACAUCCAAGGAAGGCAGCAGGCGCGCAAAUUACCCACUCCCAGAUCGGGGAGGUAGUGACGAAAAAUAACAAUACGGGACUCUUUUGAGACCCCGUAAUUGGAAUGAGUACACUCUAAAUCCUUUAACGAGGAUCCAUUGGAGAGCAAGUCUGGUGCCAGCCGUCGCGGUAAUUCCAGCUCCAAUAGCGUAUAUUAAAGUUGUUGCGGUUAAAAAGCUCGUAGUUGGAUCUCAGCUCGGGCCGGACGGUCCGCCUUUCGGUGGUUACUGUUCGAUGCCCAGCGUUUCGGCGGUUAUUCUUGAUGAUCUUCACCGGUUGUCUCGGGUGACCGCCAAGUUUACUUUGAAAAAAUUAGAGUGCUCAAAGCAGACGUGACGUCUGAAUAAUUGUGCAUGGAAUAAUGGAAUAGGACCUCGGUUCUAUUUUGUUGGUUUUCGGAACACGAGGUAAUGAUUAAGAGGGACAGACGGGGGCAUUCGUAUUGCGACGCUAGAGGUGAAAUUCUUGGACCGUCGCAAGACGAACUACUGCGAAAGCAUUUGCCAAGAAUGUUUCCAUUAAUCAAGAACGAAAGUUAGAGGUUCGAAGGCGAUCAGAUACCGCCCUAGUUCUAACCAUAAACGAUGCCAGCCAGCAAUCCGCCUGUGUUCCUCAAAUGACACGGCGGGCGGCUUCCGGGAAACCAAAGCUUUUGGGUUCCGGGGGAAGUAUGGUUGCAAAGCUGAAACUUAAAGGAAUUGACGGAAGGUCACACCAGGAGUGGAGCCUGCGGCUUAAUUUGACUCAACACGGGGAAACUUACCCGGCCCGGACACAGGAAGGAUUGACAGAUUAAGAGCUCUUUCUUGAUUCUGUGGGUGGUGGUGCAUGGCCGUUCUUAGUUGGUGGGGCGACUUGUCUGGU